AUUUGAAUAACCCUGUAUAGCGCCUCAUAUACAUUGACCAAUGGGAAUAGCUCUGUACAAUGCCUCAUUAGAAUUAUCCAAUAGAAUCCCUGCUCCUAGCUUGCACCUUUUUCCCUAUAUAAGGACCCCUUUCCCUUGGCUAGGGGCGCUUAGCCACACACAAGCUAAGUCGCCCCGGGUACCCGCGUCUCCAAUAAAGCCUCUUGUUUUUGCAUCCAAGUUCGUGGCCUCGCUGAUUCCUGGGUGUGGGUCUCCCUCUACGAAAGUACCUCUUCGGGGGUCUUUCAGAGCCAUGCCGUACAUGAAUGAUGAAAUAUUCACUUCUUCCCUUCAAAGCCUUCUGCUCUCUGUUUUAUUUACUUGCCUUACUGCGUUGGCUGUGAUCUUCAGUGGUGGUUGAUCGAAGCGGUGAGAAUGUCUCUUCUUGCCUCAUCUGUGGCCUCAGGCAGAAAGCUAACGUUCGCCACUGAGAGGGUUGCUGGUGCACUUGCUCCAACACAGUCUCCUAUCCCAUGGAUGCCUUAGUUUGCCAAGAGUCUUGUUUAAUUAUGUGAACUCUCAGCUACUGCUCCAGCACCACACUUGCCUGCUGCCACGACUCCUCCCUGCCACGACUCCCUGCCACGACUCCCUGCCACGACUCCUCCCUGCCACGACUCCCUGCCACGACUCCUCCCUGCCACGACUCCCUGCCACGACUCCCUGCCACGACUCCUCCCUGCCACGACUCCCUGCCAUGACUCCUCCCUGCCAGGACUCCCUGCCACGACUCCCUACCACAACUCCCUGCCACGACUCCCUGCCACGAUGCUCACAAGUUCACCCUCUGAAACUGUGAGCUGCCAAUGAAAUGCUUUCUCUUCUCUUCUUUUCUUUUCUUUUCUUUUCUUUUCUUUUCUUUCUUUCUUUCCUUUUUCCUUUCUUUCUUUCUUUCUUUCUUUCUUUCUUUCUUUCUUUCUUUCUUUCUUUCUUUUUUUGCCUUGAUCUCUCUUCACAGCAAUGGAACAGUAACUAAGACAAAUAAUGAACUGACUGAUACUAUUCUCUGAAGGGCCCAGCCCCCUGCCUUGGCAGCCAUGACAGGCUGCAGAAAAGACCCAACAAGAUGUAGGCCUCUGACUCAACAACAUGUGCUGAGCUCCCAACCUUGCCCUAGUCACUAGGAAGCCAGAUACCCUCUGAGGAACCAAUCAGAAGUUUCCUGACAGGCUCUGGAUGUGCUUUACUGAUAACAGUGGAAUGCAGAGCAUAGCAACCGCCCUGGGAGGGCCUCUAGGCAUAGCAACCUUCCUGCAACUGCAGCUGACCAAUCAGCACAGGACAGGUUGCCCAAGCCGGGAAGUGCACCAAUCCUGAGACUGUUGCUAUGCAACUAGCGGACCCCCCCCCCCAGACACUCCCCUUGCUCUAUCCCAAUAUAUUUCCUGCUCCACGGCUGCUCGAGGUCCUCCUGCGUCACCCGCUGUGUUGGAUGGAUGGACGGGGAAACCCAAGUUAACUCAUAAGAUUAAAGACUCUUUGCUUUUAA
rnacentral:lncRNA from 1 species